AAUGGGUCAGCGACUUAUAUUCUGUAGCAAGGUUAACCGAAUAGGGGAGCCGAAGGGAAACCGAGUCUUAACUGGGCGUUAAGUUGCAGGGUAUAGACCCGAAACCCGGUGAUCUAGCCAUGGGCAGGUUGAAGGUUGGGUAACACUAACUGGAGGACCGAACCGACUAAUGUUGAAAAAUUAGCGGAUGACUUGUGGCUGGGGGUGAAAGGCCAAUCAAACCGGGAGAUAGCUGGUUCUCCCCGAAAGCUAUUUAGGUAGCGCCUCGUGAAUUCAUCUCCGGGGGUAGAGCACUGUUUCGGCAAGGGGGUCAUCCCGACUUACCAACCCGAUGCAAACUGCGAAUACCGGAGAAUGUUAUCACGGGAGACACACGGCGGGUGCUAACGUCCGUCGUGAAGAGGGAAACAACCCAGACCGCCAGCUAAGGUCCCAAAGUCAUGGUUAAGUGGGAAACGAUGUGGGAAGGCCCAGACAGCCAGGAUGUUGGCUUAGAAGCAGCCAUCAUUUAAAGAAAGCGUAAUAGCUCACUGGUCGAGUCGGCCUGCGCGGAAGAUGUAACGGGGCUAAACCAUGCACCGAAGCUGCGGCAGCGACACUAUGUGUUGUUGGGUAGGGGAGCGUUCUGUAAGCCUGUGAAGGUG
rnacentral:rRNA from 1 species